GACGAACGCUGGCGGCGUGCCUAAUACAUGCAAGUAGAACGCAGUUGCGAACGGGUGAGUAACGCGUAGGUAACUGCCUCAUAGCGGGGGAUAACUAUUGGAAACGAUAGCUAAUACCGCAUACUGUGAGAUGGACCUGCGUUGUAUUAGCUAGUUGGUGAGGUAAAGGCGCACCAAGGCGACGAUACAUAGCCGACCGGAGAGGGUUGUCGGCCACACUGGGACUUAGACACGGGCCAGACUCCUACGGGAGGCAGCAGUAGGGAAUCUUCGGGGAGGGACGGAAGUCUGACCGAGCAACGCCGGGUGAGGGAAGAAGGUUUUCGGAUCGUAAAGCUCCUUUGUUAGGUAAGCGGUAACGAACCAGAAAGUGACGGCUAACUACGUGCCAGCAGCCGCGGUAAUAC
rnacentral:rRNA from 1 species